rnacentral:rRNA from 1 species
GACGAACGCUGGCGGCGCGCCUAACACAUGCAAGUCGAGCGGGAAGCUUUUUAAGGAUUCUUCGGAUGAAUUAAAAAGUGGAGAGCGGCGGACGGGUGAGUAACGCGUGAGAAACCUGCCCUAUACAGGGGGAUAGCCAUUGGAAACGAUGAUUAAUACCCCAUAUGACCACAGUAUCGCAUGAUACAGCGGUGAAAACUCCGGUGGUAUAGGAUGGUCUCGCGUCUGAUUAGCUAGUUGGUGGGGUAACGGCCUACCAAGGCGACGAUCAGUAGCCGGCCUGAGAGGGUGACCGGCCACACUGGAACUGAGACACGGUCCAGACUCCUACGGGAGGCAGCAGUGGGGAAUAUUGCACAAUGGGCGAAAGCCUGAUGCAGCAACGCCGCGUGAGCGAAGAAGGUCUUCGGAUCGUAAAAGCUCUGUCCUAUGGGAAGAACACAAUGACGGUACCAUAGGAGGAAGCCCCGGCUAACUACGUGCCAGC